UCCCGCAGUGAGAACAACGGUUUGGAGCC
rnacentral:piRNA from 1 species